AUUGAACGCUGGCGGCAUGCCUUACACAUGCAAGUCGAACGGCAGCACGGGGGCUUGCACCUGGGGGCGAGUGGCGAACGGGGGAGUAAUACAUCGGAACAUGUCCUGUAGUGGGGGAUAGCCCGGCGAAAGCCGGAGUAAUACCGCAUACGAUCCACGGAUGAAAGCGGGGGACCUUCGGGCCUCGCGCUAUAGGGUUGGCCGAUGGCUGAUUAGCUAGUUGGUGGGGUAAAGGCCUACCAAGGCGACGAUCAGUAGCUGGUCUGAGAGGACGACCAGCCACACUGGGACUGAGACACGGCCCAGACUCCUACGGGAGGCAGCAGUGGGGAAUUUUGGACAAUGGUCGAAAGCCUGAUCCAGCAAUGCCGCGUGUGUGAAGAAGGCCUUCGGGUUGUAAAGCACUUUUGUCCGGAAAGAAAUCCUUGACUCUAAUACAGUCGGGGGAUGACGGUACCGGAAGAAUAAGCACCGGCUAACUACGUG
rnacentral:rRNA from 1 species